rnacentral:tRNA from 1 species
UACCAAGGGAUAACAGUAUUCCACUGGUCUUAGGCACCAAAAUCCUUGGGGCAAA